GAAUAAACCCCCACACAGCCCAGAGAAUGUACCAUGCCUUAUGACAACCCGCAACAGGUGAGAGCAACAAUUGCUUGGAACAUUCUGCUUAGCUCUUGCAGCACUGGGCUGGAGCAUGCUCAGUGGAGAUAGAAUCUUCAGAGAAUUGAGCUGAUAGAAUCUUCAGAGAAUCGAGAAUUGAGAUAGAAUCUUCAGGUGAGCUUGUGAGCAGUGAAAUUUUUCUGAUAACCCGGAUGAAUUUGAGCAGCUCUUCUCCAGAAGGGAAAAAAGCACAUCCCUGACAUAAAAGAUUACUCACCUCCCACGUUUCAUGUCCAUGUUCCGAAGUAUGGAGCUUCUCAACAAAAUGGUUGUAAGAAGUAGUAUUUUUUUCACAGAGCGUGACUCUUCAGCAAUGAAAAUUUAAGCAGAACCCUUUGUGUUUUCUUUAUAUGCACCUGAGUGACUGAAAGAGAGGACACAUUGUGUUAUCACAGUGAAACAUUCCAACCUCUCCCCUGAAAUGAGCUGUUGCUAGAUUUCAUGACAGAUGUUGAUGCAGGAGGAACAUCAAGCACAGGGCAUUUCUCGCUAUGGGCUCCAAACAUCUACAAUUGCUUGUUUCACACGACUGCGGUAGAAAUACACACUAAUGUCUGAUAAAAAGGCUGUCGGGAAAAAAAAGCAAGUAGAUUCCUUUCCCAUCUACUGUAUAAUGAAACAUUAAUAUAAAGUCUCAAUGAAACUCCUCAACUGAGGAAAAUACAGAAAAUUUUCAUUAUGUUAAAUCAAAGCCUCCAAUUCAUUUUGUCUACAGUAGAAAAGACAUGCAACAGUAACUUACUGUAGGUAACAUUUCAUAAGUUAAU